rnacentral:rRNA from 1 species
CAGCAGCCGCCGCGGGAAUACGUAGGGUGCAAGCGUUAAUCGGAAUUACUGGGCGUAAAGCGUGCGCAGGCGGUUAUAUAAGACAGAUGUGAAAUCCCCGGGCUCAACCUGGGAACUGCAUUUGUGACUGUAUAGCUAGAGUACGGCAGAGGGGGAUGGAAUUCCGCGUGUAGCAGUGAAAUGCGUAGAUAUGCGGAGGAACACCGAUGGCGAAGGCAAUCCCCUGGGCCUGUACUGACGCUCAUGCACGAAAGCGUGGGGAGCAAACAGGAUUAGAUACCCGGGUAGUCCCUGUCUCUUAUAC